rnacentral:rRNA from 1 species
AUACGUAGGGGGCGAGCGUUGUCCGGAAUUACUGGGCGUAAAGGGUGCGUAGGCGGCUUGGCAAGUCCUGUGUGAAAGGUCGCGGCUUAACCGCGGUGGGUCAUGGGAAACUGCUGAGCUAGAGUGCCGGAGAGGAUAGCGGAAUUCCAGGUGUAGCGGUGAAAUGCGUAGAGAUCUGGAGGAACACCAGUGGCGAAGGCGGCUAUCUGGAAGGUUACUGACGCUGAGGCACGACAGCUGGGGGAGCAAACAGGAUUAGAUACCCUGGUAGUCCCAGCCGUAAACGAUGAGUGCUAGGUGUUGGGGGUAUCAACCCCUCCAGUGCCGAAGUUAACACAAUAAGCACUCCGCCUGGGGAGUACGGCCGCAAGGCUGAA